rnacentral:rRNA from 1 species
GUGGGGAAUAUUGGACAAUGGGGGGAACCCUGAUCCAGCCAUGCCGCGUGUGUGAAGAAGGCCUUUUGGUUGUAAAGCACUUUAAGCGAGGAGGAGGCUACCGAGAUUAAUACUCUUGGAUAGUGGACGUUACUCGCAGAAUAAGCACCGGCUAACUCUGUGCCAGCAGCCGCGUUAAUACAGAGGGUGCAAGCGUUAAUCGGAUUUACUGGGCGUAAAGUGCGCGUAGGUGGCAAAGUAAGUCAAAUGUGAAAGCCACGAGCUUAACUUAGAAAUUGCAGUCGAUACUGGUUGGCUAGAGUAUGGGAGAGGAUGGUAGAAUUCCAGGUGUAGCGGUGAAAUGCGUGGUGAUCUGAAGGAAGACCGAUGGCGAAGGCAGCCAUCUGGCCUAAUACUGACACUGAGGUGCGAAAGCAUGGGGAGCAAACAGGAUUAGAUACCCGGGUAGUCC